GAUGAACGCUGGCGGCGUGCCUAAUACAUGCAAGUCGAGCGAACAGACGAGGAGCUUGCUCCUCUGACGUUAGCGGCGGACGGGUGAGUAACAAGUGGAUAACCUACCUAUAAGACUGGGAUAACGUCGGGAAACCGGAGCUAAUACCGGAUAAUCUAUUGAACCGCAUGGUUCAAUAGUGAAAGACGGUUUUGCUGUCACUUAUAGAUGGAUCCGCGCCGCAUUAGCUAGUUGGUAAGGUAACGGCUUACCAAGGCAACGGUGCGUAGCCGACCUGAGAGUGUGAGCGGCCACAGCGGAACUGAGACACGGUCCAGACUCCUACGGGAGGCAGCAGUAGGGAAUCGGCCGCAAUGGGCGAAAGCCUGACGGAGCAGCGCCGAGUGAGUGAGGAAGGUCUUCGGAUCGUAAAACUCUGUUAUUAGGGAAGAACAAAUGGGUAAGUAACUAUGCACGUCUUGACGGUACCUAAUCAGAAAGCCACGGCUAACUACGUG
rnacentral:rRNA from 1 species